rnacentral:lncRNA from 1 species
AUGCUUCCCCAUUUCCCCAUAAUCUUGCCAUCUCCUGCCAUUCUCCUUUCCUUAGCCUCUGUUCUCCAAGAAGCAUCUGAAAAAGACAUGUGUUACAAGAGGACCCCAGAGCUCCCCUACUGGAGACUACAGUUAUACUCAGGCCCUUCCUCUCUUCUUUCUCUCCAGGUAAUUGCAGGACCUGCACUCACAACACCUUUCCUCUAUUUUCUGCAUAGUCUCAUUUGCUUAGAGAUUUCUUUGUUUUUUCCUGUUUUCUCUCCAGUUUUCCUUGCAGGCUCUCCCAGGAUUCUGUUCACUGGUAUGCCAUUAGAAGGGACUGUCUCUGAUUAGCACUGAGUAGAGAAGUACUUGUGAUACAAUCUAAGGAAGUUGAAGCUUCCGCUAAGCGACACAGUUACCUAGUGACAUCUGCUUUUUACGGCUGCUGGAUAUUGCUGUGUGGGUAGCACCUCCUUGGCAGAGCUACCUGAAGAGAAGCAAGUGAUUCUGCACCCUUAGAGCAAAGAAGCUUCUUCAUAUCUUCUAAGAAAAAAGGAGGAGAAAAGGUAAAAUUCAUAAAAUGCAAUUGCUCAAACAUUUGUGUACCAUGUAUACUCAUUAUAUGUGUGAAUGUAAUGCUUUUUAAUUUACCCUUUAUAGCUGCUCAGGUGAUUAUUUUUAGGCAGUUUUAAAAAUUCUUGCAUCAUCAGAAGUGGGUGUAUUCUGUGAGCAUAUGUUUUUAAGUAUUCAAAUAUAUUAUGCUGAACCUGGAUUAGGUUCAGUUAUGUCUGGGUGCAGUUGCUACAAAGCUGUCAUUUCUACGCCAUUGGUGUCAAACAGUUCUGUCCUUGUGACCUGUAAAUCAGUUUAAAUUCCUGUCUGUGUAGAAUGGAACAGAACUGUAGGCUGGAAAAGGUGUCAUGCUUGGGACUUGACACAGCAGGUCUCAGAUUAAUGAUAGUCAAUGUUUUCUGGUAUGUGGCAGCAACACACAGGGUAAAGAUAAGUAAAGCAAAGAAACUCACUUCUCUUCUGCUUUCCAUUCAUAAAAGAAGACAAAGGGGAAAAACAUAGCUCAGGCUUGGAUUUCUGAUAUGUUAGGCUAAAAAAAUGUCACUUAUGAUG